rnacentral:lncRNA from 10 species
UUUUUUUGUAUCUUUUUUUCAGUAGAGAUGGGGUUUCACCAUGUUAGCCAGGAUGGUCUUGAUCUCCUGACCUCGUGAUCCACCUGCCUUGGCCUCCCAACCCAAAGUGCUGGGAUUACAGGCAUCACCCACCGUGGUGGCCUUUUUUUUUUUUUUUUUUAGAACAGUCCAUUUGUCCUUGGAAAGCUGCAUAUAUAUUUGUAUAUAAUAAUUUGGAAUUUGAUUUAUUUAUUUAUUUAUUUUUUGAGGCAAAAUCUCUCUCUUGUCACCCAGGCUGGAGUACAGUGGUGUGAUCUCCCGCCUCCCAGGUUCAAGCGAUUCUCCUGCCUCGGUCUCCUGAGUAGGAGUUUGCUGAGCAGAGAGGCCCAGAUUUUUCCAAUGUGACUUGGGGCAAAUUAACCUGGCUGGUCAGCUCAAGAGACAGAGAUUAAGCCGCACUACAGCCAGGUACUGUUUCCAAGAAACUCAAGACUCCUUCCUCUGGCCCUGUGCACAGAGACAGCUGAGGAUAAGACACCACCUUUACUUUAAGGGCACAAGACGCGCAGAAAUGAACAGGUAGCAUUCCGUGGGAAGAAAUAUCCUCAGGACGUGUGUGUGUGUGUGUGUCUAAGUCUCCUGUGUGUGUAUGCGUGUGUGUGU